GGGGAAUAUUGGACAAUGGGCGAAAGCCUGAUCCAGCAAUGCCGCGUGAGUGAUGAAGGCCUUAGGGUUGUAAAGCUCUUUUACCCGGGAUGAUAAUGACAGUACCGGGAGAAUAAGCCCCGGCUAACUUCGUGCCAGCAGCCGCGGUAAUACGAAGGGGGCUAGCGUUGCUCGGAAUCACUGGGCGUAAAGGGUGCGUAGGCGGGUCUUUAAGUCAGGGGUGAAAUCCUGGAGCUCAACUCCAGAACUGCCUUUGAUACUGAAGAUCUUGAGUUCGGGAGAGGUGAGUGGAACUGCGAGUGUAGAGGUGAAAUUCGUAGAUAUUCGGAAGAACACCAGUGGCGAAGGCGACUUACUGGACGACUGUUGACGCUGAGGUGCGAAAGCGUGGGGAGCAAA
rnacentral:rRNA from 1 species